AUUGAACGCUGGCGGCAGGCCUAACACAUGCAAGUCGAGCGGAUGAAGGGAGCUUGCUCCUGGAUUCAGCGGCGGACGGGUGAGUAAUGCCUAGGAAUCUGCCUGGUAGUGGGGGAUAACGUCCGGAAACGGGCGCUAAUACCGCAUACGUCCUGAGGGAGAAAGUGGGGGAUCUUCGGACCUCACGCUAUUAGAUGAGCCUAGGUCGGAUUAGCUAGUUGGUGGGGUAAAGGCCUACCAAGGCGACGAUCCGUAACUGGUCUGAGAGGAUGAUCAGUCACACUGGAACUGAGACACGGUCCAGACUCCUACGGGAGGCAGCAGUAGGGAAUAUUGGACAAUGGGCGAAAGCCUGAUCCAGCCAUGCCGCGUGUGUGAAGAAGGUCUUCGGAUUGUAAAGCACUUUAAGUUGGGAGGAAGGGCAGUAAGUGAAUACCUUGCUGUUUUGACGUUACCAACAGAAUAAGCACCGGCUAACUUCGUG
rnacentral:rRNA from 1 species